UGGAAUACCCAAAUUUUCCAUGGCGAACCACUCAGUAACACGUGAUCAACUUACCCUAAGGAGGAGUAUAACCUCGGGAAACUGAGGAUAAUACACCAUANUUGAGAAUGCCUGGAAUGGUUUUUCAAUAAAAGAGUAAUUCGAAUGGGGAUUAUAUCGCCUUAGGAUAGGAUCGCGCCCGAUUAUGGCUGUUGGUGAGGUAACGGCUCACCAAACCUAUUAUCGGUAAGGGCCGUGAGAGCGGGAGCCCUGAGUUGGGUACUGAGACAAUGACCCAGGUCUUACGAGACGCAGCAGGCGCGAAACCUUGACAAUACACGAAAGUGUGAUCAGGUUACCCGGAGUGCUACAAAGUAGCUGUGGCAAGUGAGUAAGAUUCCUUGCUAGGAAGGAGAGGGCAAGGCUGGUGCCAGCCGCCGCGGUAAAACCAGCUCUUCAAGUGGUCGGGACUAUUAUUGGGCUUAAAAUGUCCGUAGCCGGUAUAGUAAGUUCCUGGUUAAAUCGGAUAGCUCAACUAUCUGUUGGCUAGGAAUACUGUUAUACUAGGGGGCGGGAGAGGUCUGAGGUACUCCAGGGGUAGGGGUGAAAUCCUAUAAUCCUUGGGGGACCACCAGUGGCGAAGGCGUCAGACUGGAACGCGCUCGACGGUGAGGGACGAAAGCCAGGGGAGCGAACCGGAUUAGAUACCCGGGUAGUCCUGGCUGUAAACGAUGCGUGCUAGGUGUUGGUAUGGCCUUGAGCCGUAUCAGUGCCGUAGGGAAACCGAUAAGCGCGCCGCCUGGGGAGUACG
rnacentral:rRNA from 1 species